UACAGAGGGGGCAAGCGUUGUUCGGAAUUACUGGGCGUAAAGAGCCCGCAGGCGGCUUGGCAAGUUUGAGGUGAAAUCUCCCGGCUUAACUGGGAGGGGGCCUCGAAAACUGCCAGGCUUGAGGCAUGGAGAGGGAUGCGGAAUUCCCGGUGUAGUGGUGAAAUGCGUAGAUAUCGGGAGGAACACCAGUGGCGAAGGCAGGUCUCUGGGCAUUAACUGACGCUGAGGAGCGAAAAGCAUGGGGGAGCGAACAGG
rnacentral:rRNA from 1 species